rnacentral:rRNA from 1 species
UACGGAGGUGGCAAGCGUUGCUCGGAAUCACUGGGCGUAAAGGGCGCGUAGGCGGGGAGGUAAGUCGGGUGUGAAAUCCCUCGGCCCAACCGAGGAACUGCGCCCGAGACUGCUUCUCUUGAGUCCCGGAGAGGAAGAUGGAAUUCCCGGUGUAGCGGUGAAAUGUGUAGAGAUCGGGAGGAACACCGGUGGCGAAGGCAGCCUCCUGGGCUAGUACUGACGCUCAUGCACGAAAGCGUGGGGAGCAAACGGG